UACAGAGGGGGCAAGCGUUGUUCGGAAUUACUGGGCGUAAAGGGCGCGUAGGCGGCCUUCUAAGUCGAACGUGAAAUCCCCGGGCUCAACCCGGGAACUGCGUCCGAUACUGGAAGGCUUGAAUCCGGGAGAGGGAUGUGGAAUUCCAGGUGUAGCGGUGAAAUGCGUAGAUAUCGGGAGGAACAUCAGUUGCGAAGGCGGCUCUCUGGACCAGCACUGACACUGAGGCACGAAAGCGUGGGGAGCAAACAGG
rnacentral:rRNA from 1 species